GCCGACUUCAUAUCUCAUCCUGUGACUUAGAAUGCCUAACUGCCUGGGAAUGUAGCCCACUGGGUGUCUGCCUCAUUUUACUCAGCCCCUAUUCAAGAUGGAGUUACUCUGGUUCACACACCUCUGACAUGACCUCCAACAAGUUGUGAACAUUGAGAGAAAACCCAAACUGCCCAAGAUGAGGAAGUUAGUGAGAAAGUGGUACCUAAAGCCAUGAUACCAACGAGCUCUAUGCUUCUUGAAAGGUGGUAACUUUGUGAGACAAGCCUCAAAUUUUACCACUGUACCAAGAAAUGAAAGCCAGAAUGUGGAAUUGGAGCUGGUAAUGACGACGUCAGGACAGGUUCAAAGGAAGCCCAUCACUUGAGUAAAAAUUUAUAGCCCUGCUUGUGCUGUGCUGUGCUGUGCUGUGAGUUUCAGUUCCGGGCCAGCAAAAGAUUUAUCAAAGGAAAGCAACAAGGUAAGAAAAAUUAAUUUCAGAGAGGAAAAUAAAGUUGCUUGAGGGGCUCUUCAAUGACCAAAGGCCAUAAGAGACUGGAAGGCAAAAGGACCCAUUAAUGUAAUCCAAACAUCAGUCUCCUGCAGCAAAGAGGUGAAUGGAGAAGGGUGGAGAGUAGCUGUGGACGAGUGAAAAAGACAUCGCACCAUGUCUUCAAAUUACAUCCAGCAACUUCAUAUGAACUAUGAAACCCUUGUUGCCACAAUAGUCCCUCUUUGUUUGAACUACUACAAGAAUAAAGAAAUUUCUUUCUAAUCUUUUGCAGAAGAAUUACAUAGACUCUCACUUACUGCUCUUGUUUCAUAGGUGGCUGAUUUUCCAAUUAUAUUAAAUACUUUUGGAAGGGCUGGGACUACAUCUAAUUUCUUGAAAAGUCUGGUGCUGUGG
rnacentral:lncRNA from 1 species